rnacentral:sRNA from 1 species
CCUGCAUUGUGGAGAAUGAGUACGGCAGCAUCAACCACACGUACCAGCUGGAUGUCGUGGAGCGGUCCCCUCACCGGCCCAUCCUGCAAGCAGGGUUGCCCGCCAACAAGACAGUGGCCCUGGGUAGCAACGUGGAGUUCAUGUGUAAGGUGUACAGUGAUCCGCAGCCGCACAUCCAGUGGCUAAAGCACAUCGAGGUGAACGGGAGCAAGAUUGGUCCAGACAACCUGCCUUAUGUCCAGAUCUUGAAGACUGCUGGAGUUAAUACCACCGACAAAGAGAUGGAGGUGCUUCACUUAAGAAAUGUCUCCUUUGAGGACGCAGGGGAGUAUACGUGCUUGGCGGGUAACUCUAUCGGACUCUCCCAUCACUCUGCAUGGUUGACCGUUCUGGAAGGUACACACUGUAACUUCUCCUCUCGAUGUCCUGCCCUCGCCACGGGCAUGGGGGGAGCAUGCAUUUCCAGGCUUGGGGAGACACAGAGG